GACGCAGAUACUUAUCCCAUAAAAUAAAAAUGCCCUCCCCCACUGAGAAUUCCCUCUUCCCCUUCAGCGCACCGUGCUAGGCAAAGGCCCUAUCCUUUGAUGCCGGAUUCUGGCUGGCAGGGACCACCCCGUGGGUACAGACUGAUGCUGGUUUGGUGCAGAGGUGUCAGCGUCAGGUCGCACCACGCGAGUCCUUUGCAGGCGGGGCCGGGAGAGCCGCACGCUGAUUGGAGCCCGAUCCUGGGCUUUUGUCUGGGGCAGCCGUUGCAUAGCAACCGGGUUUUUAUUUAGCUAGUUCCCUUAGCUCGGCUUCGGGGUCGCUCUGAUGGAGAUUGGGGGCGGGGGUGAGGAAACUGAGGACCCACUCCUUCCCACGCCGCAGCUCGGAUUCACGGUGACUCCGCCCUUCUGAGCAAAGAGGUGCAGGGGUCCCACUGCCACCGGGGAGGUACCCCACCAUCGCGCUCGGCCGCGCGCCCUGCAGCCCAGGCGCUCGCACACGCGCGCUCUCCACGCGCGCCGUCCGCCUCCGGAGGCCGCCCACUCGGACGCGCGUGGGGAGCACGCGGGCAUCGGCGGCUGCGCGGCGGCCGCUCCUCGGCGGCGUAGCGGAUAAGCUCCCGGGAGGAUGCCUCGGUACGGGGCGCGUCGCCCCCCUCAGGCCACCAGAGCCCGGAUACCUCAGAAAUUCGGCUCUGGGUCUGUGGGGAGCGAAAUGCAACCCAAACCCCGUUUCCCCGAAGCACCGCGCAGAUAAACACGCACAAGCACGCACACAGACGUCGUCGGCCCGCACUCGCAGCCGCAGGUCCCGGCCUGAGGGAAGAGGCCGGGGCCCAAGAUGGCUCGCCGCCUUCGCCUCGCAGCCCCGGGCGCGGCCGCUCGCCCUCGCCGCUCGCUCGCAGGUGCGACGGAAGUGCCCGGCGUCACCGGCCCGGAGCGACGGCGCAACGGCCGGUCUGGGCCUGCAGCCUCGGUGGCCCGGGCCGGACGGGAGCGGCCGCCGGACACAGCCGCCACAGACCACUCCGCUGCGCUCCUCAACCCUUAGCUGCAGCUCUGGGGGUGGCCUUCACACCGCAUUAACCUACCCGGGCCGGUCCCAGUGCGGAGAAGAGGGAGGCAGUAGAGAAUCCAGGAGCUGGAUGUAGGCCUAAAGGAGAGCGUGGGACAGGCCUGGGUCUGGAGUGACAUCUCACAUCUGGAGCUUGAGUGGUCACCAGCAGGAUCGAGAAGACAAGAUGCGUAGGCUAGUCCGAAGACAUUAGAAAUACACCACCUCACCCCACCCCACCUCCGGAAUCUCAAGUGGAUCCUUUAAAAAAACAAACAAACAAACAAAAAAAAAAAAACAAAAAAAAAAAGCCAAAAUCUCGAUGGUCAUUUAAGGAUGCCAUUUCGGUGGAUCUGAAAUGGAGCCCAGAAAUCUGCUUUUCUGAGGUCGCCAGAAAAAAGAAUCGUUUUCUUAUACGAUUUUAGUGCAAAGUUUGUUGUAGGCACGCCCUGCCUGCCAGCUAGAGGCAAAAGUUGCAGUCUUGUCGCCUUCUGACACAGGGAUAGCGUUCCACUUCACCAAAUGUCAAUAUGUGUAGGAAUGAAUGGAGUUUUAAAAAAAAAAAAAAUCACUGUACCGAUAAAACCCCUAAUAAAUGUAAACCGUAAACAAAAAAAAAAAAAAAAUGUUGGUAAAGUCCUGAAAAGAGUAGACAUCCUUGGUAUUCCCGAAUCUGAGACUUGAAAUCCACCCUACAAGCCAGCAGUGAAUAAUGGCGACUUUAAAAUGUUUUCACUUUUGUUCUUUAACAAAGCAGAAGUUAGUACUUUCUGCACACCGGUUAGCAUUCCUGAUCAUAUGUAGUAUUAUAAAACACAGGUUUGCAGCGUUUUACUCCUGUUUCGGUGAGUACAGGUAGAGCUGCACUAUGCCAUCGUAUGCUGUUGAUAUAAUAGCCACUAAUACUGAGACAUUCAGACACACGCCUUGUUCUCCCCAUUGCCGUGCUGAGGGAACACCCCGUUGUUUGUGCACAAGUGUAUCUUUACAAUAGAUUCCUAGGAGGCUGCACUGCCGGCUCAGGCUUGUUCCGGCGCUCCUAAUCUGUGCCUACCUUGUAAGGUUUGGCAGCCUCCCUUCAGAGGAUAGGCUCUGCUCACUUUAUCUCCCCAGCAAUGCCUGUUUGCCCACAGCUCUCGUCCGCAGACUCGUAAAAACUGUAAUUGAAGUUUUCACCCACUUUUCCAUGCACAGAUCAUUGUAUUUUCUGGCCUGCGAUUUAUCUGCCCUUUGGUUGAGCUCAUUUUUGUAAUGUCACUCACACCCACUUAGGAUGGCUUUAAUAAGAUGUUUGUAUUAGUUCGUAGUUCUUUACCUAGGAAAGAAAACAGCCUUAUGUUUUUAAAAAUUGCUAUUUAUUUUCCAGGUUACUUGUGUGUUUAUAUAUGAAAUUUUUUCAUCUCACAGACAUUGAUAUAUUGUAAUUUAUCAGUGUUUGCUAGUUUCUAAGUUUGAAGACCCCCCCAGAGUGUUAAUUUCCUUUUAAUGGUUUUGUCUUUACACCUUUGCCCCAUCUGAAAUAUCUUCUAUAAGUAUCUUGAGCUAACAGACUGCGCUUCUAGAACAUCCCUGAAAUAUCUUCUGUAAUGGGAGUUCUGCCCCAGAGUUCUGGUGUUGAACCUCUGUGUCUUCUGUACUAACUUGAAAUGUCACCUCAUUGUCAAAGUCCAUUCUAAAGUCCUGUGCACACUUGUGUUUCUGGAUUUUCUAGUUUGCUGCGUUGGUCUGAAGUUUUUAUGUGCUACAGUUUAGUGGGGUCGGGAUUUUUUAAAAAAAAGUUUCCCCUGCAUAAUCAUGAAUUAUACAUUAAUAUUAUAAUAAUAAAGUAGCUUGGUCAAGGCUACACAUGCUGUGAUUUAUAAAUUAUAAACAAGUUCCACUUGUUUGACAACAUGGACUGUGGGACACAAGCGUUCUGACCCAUUGCUGGGGAGACUAAAGUGAGUCUAGUCUCUAGUUGGGACAUUAGAAAUCUUUUUUCUCUGCCAAAGCAAGAUAAAUUUAAGUUCAUUUUGACUCAUGGUUUCGGAGGUUUUGGAAGAGGAACUACCAACUUGUCCAAAGAAAUGAGAGGUAAAUUCUGAACCCUUUGUGUUCAUUCCAGGCCUGCUCUCAACAGCGUCUUCUGAAAACAGUGGAGUAGGCAAAAGGACAGGAUGUUUGCAGACCUAGGUGUUCUUUAUGACCUCACCAACUGAGAACUAGCAGAGAUUGAGGAAGUCACACAACAGGAAUCCAAGGAGAAACUGUUACUAAGGGAAAAUCGAGUUCCCCAACACUUAUUGCAUAUGUAAGCCUGCAGAUCACCUUAGCCUGACGUCAACUGGUCAGCACCAUCACCACAUUUACUCUUGGUUCACUAACUUUGGGACACACACAGCCAGGCUGCAGUGUAGACCAUGGACUGAAGCUAUUGAAGACCCAAAAGAAAGAAAAUGUUGAGAGGUGGAAUGAGCUUGGUGGUUGAAGAGAUGGCUGAAGAUUCACACUUGAGCUGUUUCCCAAAACUAAGUGCUGCAGGAGAGCAGAAGCAGCUACCUAGCCUGCCAGAGACAUGCUGUUUCUAGGCUAGGGUGACUGCUGACACAAGGAAGCAAAAAAAUUAAAAAUACUGGAGCGUGUGAUAAUGAUGAGUUCAGAUAACGCAUGGGUUGAGUUUUCGGUCCCUGGGACAUGCUGGAGAUGUACUGUUGGUACGUAGACAUGACAGAACAUGAUGAAUGUUCUCAGAAUGGAAGAACAUGACAAAGAAAAGUUG
rnacentral:lncRNA from 1 species